rnacentral:rRNA from 1 species
GGUUAAGCGACUAAGCGUACACGGUGGAUGCCCUGGCAGUCAGAGGCGAUGAAGGACGUGCUAAUCUGCGAUAAGCGUCGGUAAGGUGAUAUGAACCGUUAUAACCGGCGAUUUCCGAAUGGGGAAACCCAGUGUGUUUCGACACACUAUCAUUAACUGAAUCCAUAGGUUAAUGAGGCGAACCGGGGGAACUGAAACAUCUAAGUACCCCGAGGAAAAGAAAUCAACCGAGAUUCCCCCAGUAGCGGCGAGCGAACGGGGAGGAGCCCAGAGCCUGAAUCAGUGUGUGUGUUAGUGGAAGCGUCUGGAAAGGCGCGCGAUACAGGGUGACAGCCCCGUACACAAAAAUGCACAUGCUGUGAGCUCGAUGAGUAGGGCGGGACACGUGGUAUCCUGUCUGAAUAUGGGGGGACCAUCCUCCAAGGCUAAAUACUCCUGACUGACCGAUAGUGAACCAGUACCGUGAGGGAAAGGCGAAAAGAACCCCGGCGAGGGGAGUGAAAAAGAACCUGAAACCGUGUACGUACAAGCAGUGGGAGCACAGAGCAAUCUGUGUGACUGCGUACCUUUUGUAUAAUGGGUCAGCGACUUAUAUUCUGUAGCAAGGUUAACCGAAUAGGGGAGCCGAAGGGAAACCGAGUCUUAACUGGGCGUUAAGUUGCAGGGUAUAGACCCGAAACCCGGUGAUCUAGCCAUGGGCAGGUUGAAGGUUGGGUAACACUAACUGGAGGACCGAACCGACUAAUGUUGAAAAAUUAGCGGAUGACUUGUGGCUGGGGGUGAAAGGCCAAUCAAAAACGGGAGAUAGCUGGUUCUCCCCGAAAGCUAUUUAGGUAGCGCCUCGUGAAUUCAUCUCCGGGGGUAGAGCACUGUUUCGGCAAGGGGGUCAUCCCGACUUACCAACCCGAUGCAAACUGCGAAUACCGGAGAAUGUUUCACGGGAGACACACGGCGGGUGCUAACGUCCGUCGUGAAGAGGGAAACAACCCAGACCGCCAGCUAAGGUCCCAAAGUCAUGGUUAAGUGGGAAACGAUGUGGGAAGGCCCAGACAGCCAGGAUGUUGGCUUAGAAGCAGCCAUCAUUUAAAGAAAGCGUAAUAGCUCACUGGUCGAGUCGGCCUGCGCGGAAGAUGUAACGGGGCUAAACCAUGCACCGAAGCUGCGGCAGCGACACUGUGUGUUGUUGGGUAGGGGAGCGUUCUGUAAGCCUGUGAAGGUGUGCUGUGAGGCAUGCUGGAGGUAUCAGAAGUGCGAAUGCUGACAUAAGUAACGAUAAAGCGGGUGAAAAGCCCGCUCGCCGGAAGACCAAGGGUUCCUGUCCAACGUUAAUCGGGGCAGGGUGAGUCGACCCCUAAGGCGAGGCCGAAAGGCGUAGUCGAUGGGAAACAGGUUAAUAUUCCUGUACUUGGUGUUACUGCGAAGGGGGGACGGAGAAGGCUAUGUUGGCCGGGCGACGGUUGUCCCGGUUUAAGCGUGUAGGCUGGUUUUCCAGGCAAAUCCGGAAAAUCAAGGCUGAGGCGUGAUGACGAGGCACUACGGUGCUGAAGCAACAAAUGCCCUGCUUCCAGGAAAAGCCUCUAAGCAUCAGGUAACAUCAAAUCGUACCCCAAACCGACACAGGUGGUCAGGUAGAGAAUACCAAGGCGCUUGAGAGAACUCGGGUGAAGGAACUAGGCAAAAUGGUGCCGUAACUUCGGGAGAAGGCACGCUGAUAUGUAGGUGAAGUCCCUCGCGGAUGGAGCUGAAAUCAGUCGAAGAUACCAGCUGGCUGCAACUGUUUAUUAAAAACACAGCACUGUGCAAACACGAAAGUGGACGUAUACGGUGUGACGCCUGCCCGGUGCCGGAAGGUUAAUUGAUGGGGUCAGCGCAAGCGAAGCUCUUGAUCGAAGCCCCGGUAAACGGCGGCCGUAACUAUAACGGUCCUAAGGUAGCGAAAUUCCUUGUCGGGUAAGUUCCGACCUGCACGAAUGGCGUAAUGAUGGCCAGGCUGUCUCCACCCGAGACUCAGUGAAAUUGAACUCGCUGUGAAGAUGCAGUGUACCCGCGGCAAGACGGAAAGACCCCGUGAACCUUUACUAUAGCUUGACACUGAACAUUGAGCCUUGAUGUGUAGGAUAGGUGGGAGGCUUUGAAGUGUGGACGCCAGUCUGCAUGGAGCCGACCUUGAAAUACCACCCUUUAAUGUUUGAUGUUCUAACGUGGACCCGUGAUCCGGGUUGCGGACAGUGUCUGGUGGGUAGUUUGACUGGGGCGGUCUCCUCCUAAAGAGUAACGGAGGAGCACGAAGGUUGGCUAAUCCUGGUCGGACAUCAGGAGGUUAGUGCAAUGGCAUAAGCCAGCUUGACUGCGAGCGUGACGGCGCGAGCAGGUGCGAAAGCAGGUCAUAGUGAUCCGGUGGUUCUGAAUGGAAGGGCCAUCGCUCAACGGAUAAAAGGUACUCCGGGGAUAACAGGCUGAUACCGCCCAAGAGUUCAUAUCGACGGCGGUGUUUGGCACCUCGAUGUCGGCUCAUCACAUCCUGGGGCUGAAGUAGGUCCCAAGGGUAUGGCUGUUCGCCAUUUAAAGUGGUACGCGAGCUGGGUUUAGAACGUCGUGAGACAGUUCGGUCCCUAUCUGCCGUGGGCGCUGGAGAACUGAGGGGGGCUGCUCCUAGUACGAGAGGACCGGAGUGGACGCAUCACUGGUGUUCGGGUUGUCAUGCCAAUGGCACUGCCCGGUAGCUAAAUGCGGAAGAGAUAAGUGCUGAAAGCAUCUAAGCACGAAACUUGCCCCGAGAUGAGUUCUCCCUGACCCUUUAAGGGUCCUGAAGGAACGUUGAAGACGACGACGUUGAUAGGCCGGGUGUGUAAGCGCAGCGAUGCGUUGAGCUAACCGGUACUAAUGAACCGUGAGGCUUAACCUU